GACGAACGCUGGCGGCGUGCUUAACACAUGCAAGUCGUACGGUAAGGCCCUUUCGGGGGUACACGCGUGGCGGACGGGUGGGUAACACGUGCGUAACCUGCCCACCACUUUGGGAUAACGCUAGUAAACUGGUGCUAAUACUGGCUAUGUGCCCCUGCUGCAUGGUGGGGGUUGGAAAGCUCCGGCGGUUGUGGAUGGACUCGCGGCCUGUCGGCUUGUUGGUGGGGUAGUGGCCUACCAAGGCGGCGACGGGUCGCCGGCCUGGGAGGGGGACCGGCCAGAUUGGGACUGAGCUACGGCCCAGACUCCUACGGGAGGCAGCAGGGGGGAAUAUGGCACAAUGGGCGGAAGCCUAAUGCAGCACCGCCGCGUGCGGGAUGUCGGCCUUCGGGUUGUAAACCGCUUUCGCCUGUGACGAGGCGUGAGUGACGGUAAUGGGUAAAGAAGCACCGGCUAACUACGUG
rnacentral:rRNA from 1 species